AGGACGAACGCUGGCGGCGUGCUUAACACAUGCAAGUCGAACGGAAAGGCCCGCUUGCGGGUACUCGAGUGGCGAACGGGUGAGUAACACGUGGGCAACCUGCCCUCAGCUCUGGGAUAACUCCGGGAAACCGGUGCUAAUACUGGAUAUCGACUUCUGCCUCGCAUGGGGUGUUGUUGAAAGUUUUCGGCUGGGGAUGGGCCCGCGGCCUAUCAGCUUGUUGGUGGGGUGAUGGCCUACCAAGGCGACGACGGGUAGCCGGCCUGAGAGGGCGACCGGCCACACUGGGACUGAGACACGGCCCAGACUCCUACGGGAGGCAGCAGUGGGGAAUAUUGCGCAAUGGGGCGGAAGCCUGACGCAGCGACGCCGCGUGAGGGAUGACAGCCUUCGGGUUGUAAACCUCUUUCAGCUCUGACGAAGCGAGAGUGACGGUAGGAGCAGAAGAAGCACCGGCCAACUACGCGCCAGCAGCCGCGGU
rnacentral:rRNA from 1 species